GACGAUUCCUACGGGAGGCAGCAGUAGGGAAUCUUCCGCAAUGGACGAAAGUCUGACGGAGCAACGCCGCGUGAGUGAUGAGGGCUUUCGGGUCGUAAAACUCUGUUGUUAGGGAAGAACAAGUGCUAGUUGAAUAAGCUGGCACCUUGACGGUACCUAACCAGAAAGCCACGGCUAACUACGUGCCAGCAGCCGCGGUAAUA
rnacentral:rRNA from 1 species